rnacentral:misc_RNA from 1 species
GCCGUCUUCCAAGCGGCGGCGCCAAUUUUUGAUCUCCUUUACAUCAGCCAGGGCGGACUCAUGGCUCAAGACAUCGAAAUCGUCGUUGAAGAUCCGACCGCGCCGGACGAGAACUCGCCCGCGAUCACCAACAAUCGCACGGUCGAGAUGGUGGUCAUGGCGCUGCUGUUCGGGCUUGCUGUGCUGCUCGGCUUCGACAACUGGCGCACCGGCGCAUCGUGGGACGACACGGGCCCGCAGGCCG